UGCACUCACAGACAUUUCGAAAGCAAGUCUAAAGCAGAUCAGAAGCAGAAGAAAACACGAUGAGUAAAGUAACGUUGGUUUGUCUGUUGAUGUCGUUAACUGUGUAUUGUCUGAUCGACUCUAAUGGUGCAAGUACCAUUGAUCCAACUACAACCAAGGCACAAG